CUCAGACUGCUGUGCUAGCAAUCAGCGAGACUCCUUAGGCAUAGGACCCUCCGAGCCAGGUGCGGGAUAUACUCUCGUGGUGCGCCGUUUUUUAAGCCGGUCGGAAAAGCGCAGUAUUCUGGUGGGAGUGACCCGAUUAUCCAGUUCUGAGUCCAGAAGUCUGAAUCAGUGUCACUGAGCCAAAAUGAAGGUGUCAGUAGAGCCACGCUGACUCUAGCUGAAAAUCUAUUCCUUUCCCCUUCCAGCAAACAGUGGCUGCCUACAUCCCUUGAUUUAUUUUGCCAUUGAGGCCCCUUCAGUUGGCUCCUAUGAAUACAAUUUAUAUCUCAUACAAUGUGAAAACAACUUUAUCUACUAAAGAAGAGUGCGUCUGUACAGUUCCAUUUGCCUUUAGUUUUAAGACUACUCAUUUCCCUUUAUUUAGGUCACUUCCAUACACAUUUCAAAUGUAUAUAUUUAUUAUUGUUUUAUUUACAACCUAAUGUAUAUAAUAUUAUAUGUAUUCAUCAUUUUUACAUUAAAACAUUUAUAUUCUGUGAUAUUGAUAUUGAUUUAAAAAUUGGUACAUAUUAAAUAAAUUAACCUGAAUAAUUGUGGUAUUUCAUUUUGGAAAUCUAUAUUCUUUCAAGAGAUAAUUUAAUAUGUGACUUUGUUGUUUAUAUCUAUUUUCUUCAUAUUCCUUGUAUCUUUUCAUGUAAAUGUUGCUGCUAAGUUGUUUGUAGCACACAUUUUUAUUUGGUAUGUCUUAUUAUAAAUUUGAUUAGCAUUUAUAUCUACAUUUAAAUUUCUUCAAUAGGAAGAUUGGAAUAACUGAUAUGUGAUUGUUGUUAGCCUUUGCAUAUUACAUCUUUUCAUUUUCUCUUCACUUUGAUCUUAGUAACACCCUUUAUUUAGGUCUAUAUCUUCUACACUUUAAAGUCAUCUUUUAUUUUGUUAUGAAAUCAGAUAGUGAUUAUUUGUUAAAUAUGUGAGUUUAGCUCACACCCAUACACCCAUAUGUAAAUAUGUUAGAUGCAUCUAUUUAAUCUUUUUUUCUUUGUAAUUUUGUGAUUGCAUUUAUUUUAAGUACAUUGUCCUCGCUGCUUCCUUUACCCUAACAUACUGACUUUCACACAGAUACCCCCAUGGAAAACAAACAGGAAAUACAAAUUUUAAAGCAGCUUAUUCUUAUUGCUAGUUCCUGAUACAUGAUUUUUUAAAACUUUUAUUUUGGGUUCAUGGAUACAUGUGCAGGUUUGCCAUAUGGAUAAACUCAUGUCAUAGGGGUUUGUUGUACAGAUUAUUUGAUUACUCAGGUACUAAGCCUAGUACUCAAUAGUUAUUUUUCUUGACACUCUCCCUCCUCCUACCCUCCACCCUAAAAGUAGACCUCGGUGUCUGUUGUUCCCUCCUUUGUGUCCAUGAGAUCAUUUUUUUUUUUUAAUGGCCACAUAGCAUUCUGUGGAGUAUAUGUACCACAUUUCUUUAGCUAUUCUGCCACUGAUAGGCAUUUAGGUUGAUUUCAUGUCUUUGCUAUUGUGAAUAGGGCUGCAAUGAACAUAUACAUACAUGUGUCUUUAUUGUAGAAUGAUUUAUAUUCCUUUGGGUAUAUACUCAGUAAUGGGAUUGCUGGGUCAAAUAAUAGUUUUGUUUUUAGCUCUUUGAGGAAUUGCCACGCUGCUUUUCACAAUGGUUGAACUAAUUUACACUCCCACCAAGAGUACAUAAGCAUUCCCUUUUCUCUGCAAUCUUGCUUUCCACUUCUUUAUCUUUUUAAAUAAACUUCACAUUGUAGUAUCACUUCUUAAUUAUGUGAUUUUAUUAAAAACAAAACUUAGGAAGGCUUGUAGUUUCUUAACAGUUGUAUUUAUAACAAUAAAUACAACACAAUACGAUAGCUAAUAGAAAAAUAAUCUCUAUGACUUUAGAUAUCAUCCAUUAACACCUUAUUGUAAGUCUUUCCACUCUCUUGAUUUAUCCCUCUGAUUUUAUUUGAUUGAAUGAUCACUCUUCGUCUUUACCUUCACAGUCUUAUAUACAAUUAAAACUCUUGUUGAUUGCUCUCUUUUAAAUAAAUCAUUUAUCAAAGUGCAGUGCACAUGCUGAAAAGUGCCCAAAUACAUAUGCACAAAGUAUACUUAUCGGCAUAAACACCAUACACAAUUAUAAUUAUUACUUUAAUGUAAUUUUGUGAUACAAUCAUUAAGACUACGUUGAAGUAGUGUUAAAAGAAACAGCAUGCAACAUGCAAUUUAAAAUAAGAUUGAAAACAUUCUGUAUUAAGUUAUCUAUCAAGCAAAUGUUCAGUUGCCCUUACUCUACUCUUAGGCUUGUUUCUUCAGAUGGUAGAAUUUGGCUUGUGCCUAUGGAUACUUGAGGAGCCAUAGAGUCAGGAUAAUUAUUUAAUUUUAAAACAAACUAUAGUAGAAUAUAUACCAGGCUAACAAGGACAGUUAAGUAAAACAGAAGUAACUGAUAAAUUGGUAAAUGACAUUAGUCAUCAGUGUUCACCAUAUGUUUGAGAGAGAAUUAAAUUAUCUCUAUGCCAAUUUGUCUGGUAUUAUAGCCAAUAAUUAUUGUAGUGUAUUACUUCUAUUCUUUAAAGUGAAAAUAUAUUUUAAAACUUUAUAUUCUAAUAAUUUAAUAAUUCUAAAUAAUUUAGAAUAAUUUCUAAAUAUUUGCAAUGAGUUGAAUGUCUCAAAGCUCCCUUUAGAAACUGUGCCUACAAAAUAGCAAAAAGUAAUCAAAAUAGAGCUUUCCACAAAACACACACGUUAUUAUCUAACAGAAAGUGCAUAAAAACAAUGUGGCUAUCUCUACUUCCAUAAAUAAGUUGAAAAAAGCACAUACAAUUUUAAUACAUUUUGUUCUCUUGAUAAAUUAAUUCAUUAAUUUUUCAUGAUACAAAUUUGACCUUUUGUUUCUGUCAACUUAUUUUUAAUUAAUGUAAUCACUCACCUGAAAUGACCUUAUUAUUUGGUUUGUUUGGAUGUGUUAAUAAUGUAAAUAAUGCAUAUAGGAAGCAGAUUUAAAAGUAGUUGUUGAAAUGAAUGUAUCUCUUUCUCAUUCAGAAAUAUUAAUGUUUAGCAUCUUAGAAUGACCCUAGGAAUUCUUUAAGUAAUUACCUAAUUGCUUAAUUGUUCAUUAGAUACCCUAAUGCUAAAGAAAGCUAUUGACCAUUUUCUUACAAAUGGUUGUGCCUGGCACAGAGUAGUAUUUAAUUAUUUCUCUAUGGAUUAAAAUGUUGGCUUUAGAAUAUUGCAGUUAAUCAACUUCUGACUAUACGUGUCUAAAUUAGGAUUGAGGAUCAUCUCCAAAUAACCACUUUUCACUAUACAGGUAGUCAAUUAUCUCUACUCCAUUACUCAUCAGGGGCUGACUUUCCUUCACUGACUGUGUCUCAGACAAAACCACAGCUACUAUCAGAUUAAACUUUGCCUUUCUGUGCUGAUGUAUUAUUAUAACAAUAUGAAUAUUCAAGAGUUGACUGGCAGCAUAAAGUGAACUCAACAAUGUAUUCAAGAAUAUCAAGGGAUGUGUUGAAUCCGUUAGGAAAAGUCUAACCUUAUCUAUUGAAGUACAUUCCUGCACUUCCUUUUCAGCAUUCAGUUAUGUCUUCAUGAUAAAUUACAUCAAAGAUGUUUUCUUUUAGCAAUUUUCUUUUUCUGAUAGUCAUAGAUCUAUUCAUUUUGUAAAAUUG
rnacentral:lncRNA from 1 species